CCUAGUGCUCCGGGGUCGGUGCAAUUCCGAACCGGCGGUGACAGUCCGCGACCCGACCGCAGCCGGCGGCCGGUUGAACCGGUGUAAUUCCGGUACCGACGGUGAAAGUCCGGAUGGUAGGCAGCACUGAA
rnacentral:ncRNA from 2 species